CUUGAAUAUAAAUAGGAUAUAAAAAAAGCGGCGUGAAACUUGUAAAUUAAACUGGCGACUCUUAGGACGUGGAAGGAAGCAUUUUUAACGAAUAAAACUGCCUUCAUUAACGAAGCAGCAAUUCAUUUUACAAGAUUCCGCAGGCCCUCUCGAAAUCGUGACCUUCCCAUGACGCAAAGAGGGCCUGCGGAGGAGGCAGGACGUGUGAUGCGGAAGUAGCCUGAGGCGAGCAUGUUUUUGGUGAAAAAUGAAGAAAAAGUAGAUUGCGGUCAAAUGUCGGCGUAUCGACUGCUUGCACUCGAAAGGCUGGAUCUAUAGUAUUGCCUUCACAAAGCUGUAGCAAAAAGGUUAAACUAGUUCAAAUUACGAGAGUUUAAACUAAGUCCGUAUAACUUCAGCCAUUUCCUUAUAGUAACGCUUUUUGUUUCCCAUACUUACUGCUGUUAUCUUGGCAGACAUUUUCCCCGCCAUUUUCGUAUACUUGCGCAUGCGCUUUAUGUGUCACCGCGGUGCUGAUUUUGAUAUGCCGGCUUUAGUUCUUGUGACCAUUUUUGUAGUGUGAUAAUAAACUAAUUUGAUCAUUAAUACUGAUAGUUAAUAUGUACAAUACUCUGAGUACUACG